AAUAACACGUGAUUUCAAAAUUAGAGUGGGGGAAAGUACAAAUAUCAAAUACUUCAGGGACUGAGAAUGCAAUUAAACAACCCUUAGCAAAAACAAACAAAUUUCAUAAUUCCACCCGCAUUUCUCUCUCUAAAACACUCCCUUUUCUCUCUCUAAAAUCUCACUUCUAUCUCCGAGAAUUCGUAAUCUCAUCUCUUUCGCCAACAAUUAAUUAUUCACCAAUUUCGAAUCUGCAGCUUUUCCGAUACUGUGAAUUUUCAAUUCAUCGACAAGGUUCAUAGUUUAGCAGAUAAUGGUGCUCCCAAGAAAGUGUAGAAGUGUGAAUAACCGCUGUUCUUCGAUCCCUAAAUUAUCUCUUACCAAAGCUGGAGAUGGUGCUCAAAGAAGCAUCAGCAGGAGAAGAAAUUUGGCUGACAAACUUGGGCCUAAGUGGACCGUGAAAGAGCUAACUCGUUAUUACAACUCUUACUACAAGAACGGUAAAGAUUGGGAAAAGGUUGCCGAUGCUGUAAGAAAUCGAUCUUUGGAAAUGGUGGAAGCCCUUUACACAAUGAACAGGGCGUAUUUAUCUCUUCCACGCGUAGCUACGUCUGCAGCUGCGUUGAUUUCUAUGAUGGCUGAUCACUACAGAAAUUCGGCAUAAAGCGACAGUGGCUAAGAGGGCAAUCUUUAAUAUGCAUAGCUUUAGCUUUUUCCAGAUUCUUUUCUGGACCAUGGUAGUGUUUUUGAGGAGGAUGAAGAUUGAAGAUGACGAAACUGUGUUCAAUUGAAAGAAACAUGGAUCGUUGGUCGGUAAAAAACCCUACUGUAAAAAUUCCCACGAAUUGAAACUAUGUACAAUGAGCCGAAAUAUCCAUGGUAAAUUGUCUGAAAUGCAAAUCAAAUCGGUCUCGGAAUCCGAAUCUGAAUCAGAUUCUGCUGUUCCUCCAUCUUUGGUCAAAACCCUAAAACCCUUUGUCGAUGGAAGUAGGGGAAUCAUGAUAAUUCGAAAUAAGGCUAUGGUAAAUAUUUAUUAUAUUAUAUUUUGGAAUUAGUCGAAGAAUUAUUAAAUGUGGUGGGAACAAAAAGAAAUUGAUUUUCGACGAACACUUUCUAGUUCGAUCUCGUCGUAUUCUGUUUACGCUUUUCGUACGGUUUGCGAGCUUGUACGAGAGUUUCUUUCGUAAAGGUACAAUAUAAUGGAGAUAUGUACAAAAGUAGAAGCAUAUUUUAUUUAUAUGUACCUAAAUCC